rnacentral:lncRNA from 1 species
CCGUUGCAUACAAAUACAUAGGUAAAUGAAUGGACUAAGAGUGUUUGAGCAUGUACACUGUUCUGUACUGUAUAAGUUUAAUAAUAUUGUAAAGUUUGAUCUUUACAAUGUCCUUCUUUUUCUUCUUUUUCUUUUGCCCGUUUUGUUUGUUUUUGCUCGGUCUAUGAUAGAAUUCGAUGAUACCUAUCCAGAGUCAGUAAGUAAGGUAAGGUAGGGCAAAAAAGGGUAGGUAAAAAAAUCUGAUGUAGCUGUUUAAGUGGAAAUUAAAGAUGAUGAGAAAAUUCGACGACAUUUAUAAGAUGAAGGUUUCAGUGUUCCAUACGUUCUUUGUUACCAUGAUUCUUUGUUUUCUAAAGCGGGAAACUUACGGGAAUAAUUUAUAAUACUGCGCAGUUAUGUUAUGUUGGCCAUAACGAGAGCGAUGAUGAAUCAUAAUGAUCCAUCAUGGCGAUCAAAUGAGACGGAAACCAAAAAACCGUACGAAGAUGGACACCGAUUGGAAUACAAAUUCAUAAGGAGCAAGUGUCAGUAAUAAGAGAGUGAUAUUAAUGAUGAAAGAAUAAUAUCAACAACAAAAAAAGUAACAUUAUUUGUGAAUGAGUAAUAUACGCUGCGUACGUAGCAAUGUUGCAUGUCAAAAACAGAAACAAAAUUAGAGAUUGUGUGCCAGUGCAAACAAAGAGGCCUUGUAGCAUAAGAAUCGCCAAAUUGCAAUGGGCUUAUUAAGAGUAUUUUUGAUUACUUACAUUCACUCUGUCAGCGAGCCAGACCUUCCCAGAAACCGCCUCUUCGAUCAACCCAUUUGCCUCAUUUGUUGAUAUUUGCACUGUUUGUCGGUAAACACAUUGCUUGUUUUCACCAUUUGCUGCUCUCGAGCCUCCCUUGUCUUCCUCGAUCCGAAAUAUACCGUCUUGCUAAUUGCAAUAAGUUACAAUUCCAAAUCUCCUUACUACGUUGCUGCCUUAGGAUUGUGCCUUAUUCCGCGGAGAGCAUUCACGGAAGAAUUAUAAAACUAUUAUUGUACACCAAAUUACAAAAAUGGACUUUAAUUUAACAAAAAAAUUUUUCCUUUCCUUCUAUGGAUGUCUUUGCUUUUCAACUUUUAUCCUUUCUCUUUUGAAUUAAAAAUACUGAUUGAACCUCUUUUUAAUAAUAUUUAUUUUCUUAUAUACGAACGGUCACAAGGGCAUUAUUCAUCGGCUUCCUGCGUAUUUUGCAGAUCAGGCGGAUACAGAUCGACGGGAUGCUCCUGACCUUAUGAAUAGACUGGUACGAGUAAGGCCAACUGUGAUGAUUUCUAAUAAAACUAAUAAGCAAUUUGUAGCCUCGAAGCUUUUGCGCUGGUAGGUUACAAUAGAGUAUUUCUUGCAACAGUAGACACCUCUCACUUGCUACGUAUUACUUGUGGCGUGGGGACAUACUGAGCUUAUGGGAGGAAACAAAACAAUGACAGUGAGAUCAGAUCAGAUUUAGCACCAUGAAUAUGAUUGAGAAUUCCUUCUAUCCAUUUUUGUAAACUUCUCAAGGAAAUAUUAUAUUACACAGGAAAUCAUUGUAUUUCUAUCGGUAUAUUAUCAUACACCAAAAUCUUUAGCGGUUAACUUUCUCGCACUGUAUACACA